rnacentral:rRNA from 1 species
UAGGGAAUCUUCCGCAAUGGACGCAAGUCUGACGGAGCAACGCCGCGUGAGUGAAGAAGGAUUUCGGUUCGUAAAACUCUGUUGUUAGAGAAGAACAGCGCAUAGAGUAACUGUUAUGCGUGUGACGGUAUCUAACCAGAAAGCCACGGCUAACUACGUGCCAGCAGCCGCGGUAAUACGUAGGUGGCAAGCGUUGUCCGGAUUUAUUGGGCGUAAAGCGAGCGCAGGCGGUCAAUUAAGUCUGAUGUGAAAGCUCCCGGCUCAACCGGGGAGGGUCAUUGGAAACUGGUUGACUUGAGUGCAGAAGAGGAGAGUGGAAUUCCAUGUGUAGCGGUGAAAUGCGUAGAUAUAUGGAGGAACACCAGUGGCGAAGGCGACUCUAUGGUCUGUAACUGACGCUGAGGCUCGAAAGCGUGGGUAGCAAACAGG